CAGUACUCUAACUGGUAAUUGGGACUACACUCACCCAACUGAACCACACCGGCCAGGAAGGGAGUGAAGGUUUAACACUCCUUCACUAUAUCUGCUUUUCUCAUCUGCCUUCAAACACUACUUAGAGCCUCUCCAAUCCAUACUCAAUUUUGCUUACUGAUUCUUUCCCUUUACCUGCCUGUCCUCCUCCAAAUUGUCUUGGAAAUAGUUCUAGGUGAUAACAGUUCCUCUGCAGCAGCCUGUAGUGGUCUUGCUAGAAUGAACAGCAGGCCCAGUGUCCAAGGAAGAGGAUGGCUACACUUGGGCAUGUGACAUGCCAUAUUACCAACAAACAUUUAUAUUGCUUCAAGUAGUUCUAAGAGAGAGAGAGAG